rnacentral:rRNA from 1 species
GUGACUGCGUACCUUUUGUAUAAUGGGUCAGCGACUUAUAUUCUGUAGCAAGGUUAACCGUAUAGGGGAGCCGGAGGGAAACCGAGUCUUAAUUGGGCGUUAAGUUGCAGGGUAUAGACCCGAAACCCGGUGAUCUAGCCAUGGGCAGGUUGAAGGUUGGGUAACACUAACUGGAGGACCGAACCGACUAAUGUUGAAAAAUUAGCGGAUGACCUGUGGCUGGGGGUGAAAGGCCAAUCAAACCGGGAGAUAGCUGGUUCUCCCCGAAAGCUAUUUAGGUAGCGCCUCGUGAAUUCAUCUCCGGGGGUAGAGCACUGUUUCGGCUAGGGGGCCAUCCCGGCUUACCAACCCGAUGCAAACUGCGAAUACCGGAGAAUGUUAUCACGGGAGACACACGGCGGGUGCUAACGUCCGUCGUGAAGAGGGAAACAACCCAGACCGCCAGCUAAGGUCCCAAAGUCAUGGUUAAGUGGGAAACGAUGUGGGAAGGCCCAGACAGCCAGGAUGUUGGCUUAGAAGCAGCCAUCAUUUAAAGAAAGCGUAAUAGCUCACUGGUCGAGUCGGCCUGCGCGGAAGAUGUAACGGGGCUAAACCAUGCACCGAAGCUGCGGCAGCGACGCUGAUGCGUUGUUGGGUAGGGGAGCGUUCUGUAAGCCUGCGAAGGUGACCUGUGAGGGUUGCUGGAGGUAUCAGAAGUGCGAAUGCUGACAU